UACGGAGGGGGCUAGCGUUGUUCGGAAUACUGGGCGUAAAGCGUGCGCAGGCGGCUUUGCAAGACAGAUGUGAAAUCCCCGGGCUUAACCUGGGAACUGCAUUUGUGACUGCAUGGCUAGAGUGCGGCAGAGGGGGAUGGAAUUCCUGGGUGUAGCGGUGAAAUGCGCAGAUAUCAGGAAGAACACCCGUGGCGAAGGCGGCUCUCUGGGACGGUACUGACGCUA
rnacentral:rRNA from 1 species